rnacentral:misc_RNA from 1 species
UCCCCAUUAAAUGAGGCAGUCUCCCGUGAAAUGCAACACAGGACGAGGGUUUCGCUCGUUUACCCACUUAAGGGCACACUUCACAGCACGAGCUGACGACGGCCGUGCAUCACCUGUCAUCUGGCUCCCGAAGGCACCCCGCUAUUUCUAGCGGGUUCCAGAGAUGUCAAGCCUUGGUAAGGUUCCCCGCUUAGUAUCGAAUUAAACCACAUGCUCCACCGCUUGUGCGAGUCCCCGUCAAUUCCUUUGAGUUUUAGUCUUGCGACCGUACUUCCCAGGCGGCAGACUUCACGCGUUAGCUACGGCACACAAAGGGUCGAUACUCCGAAUGCCUAGUCUGCAUCGUUUACGGCGUGGACUAC